rnacentral:rRNA from 1 species
AUUGAACGCUGGCGGCAUGCCUAACACAUGCAAGUCGAGCGAGCGGCGGACGGGUGAGUAAUGUAUGGGGACUGCCCGAUAGAGGGGGAUAACUACUGGAACCGGUGGCUAAUACCGCAUACUAUCGGAUAACCCAUAGGGGAUUAGCGAGUAGGUGGGGUAAAGGCUUACCUAGGCGACGAGCUCUAGCUGGUCUGAGAGGAUGAUCAGCCACACUGGAACUGAGACACGGCCCAGACUCCUACGGAGGCAGCAGUGGGGAAUAUUGCACAAUGGGCGCAAGCCUGAUGCAGCCAUGCCGCGUGUGUGAAGAAGGCCUUAGGGUUGUAAAGUACUUUCAGCGGGGAGGCGUUACCCGAUGAAGAAGCCCCGGCUAACUCCGUGCCAGCAGCCGCGGUAAUUC